AGAGGUUUGAUCCUGGCUCAGAAUCAACGCUGGCGGCGUGCCUAACACAUGCAAGUCGAACGAGAAAGUGGAGCAAUCCAUGAGUAAAGUGGCGACCGGGUGAGUAACACGUGACUAACCUACCUUCGAGUGGGGGAUAACCUCGGGAAACCGAGGCUAAUACCGCAUAACAUCGCAAGAUCAAAGCAGCAAUGCGCUGGAAGAGGGGGUCGCGGCUGAUUAGCUAGUUGGCGGGGUAAUGGCCCACCAAGGCGAAGAUCGGUAGCCGGCCUGAGAGGGCGCACGGCCACACUGGAACUGAAACACGGUCCAGACUCCUACGGGAGGCAGCAGUGGGGAAUUUUGCGCAAUGGGGGAAACCCUGACGCAGCAACGCCGCGUGGAGGAUGAAGCCCCUUGGGGUGUAAACUCCUUUCGACCAAGACGAUAAUGACGGUACUGGUGGAAGAAGCACCGGCUAACUCUGUGCCAGCAGCCGCGGUAAUACAGAGGGUGCGAGCGUUGUUCGGAAUUAUUGGGCGUAAAGGGUGCGUAGGCGGUGCCACAAGUCACUUGUGAAAUCUCCGGGCUUAACCCGGAGCCUGCAGGCGAAACUGUGGUGCUGGAGUAUGGGGAGAGGUGCGUGGGAAUUCCCGGUGUAAGCCGGGGAAAUGCGUAAGAUAAUUCGGGGAGGAACACCUGUUGGCGAAAGCGGCGCACUGGGACCAUAAACUGACGCUGAUGCACGAAAGCUAAGGGGAAGCAAAACAGGAUUAGAAUUACCCUGGGAAGUCCUAGCCCUAAACGGAAG
rnacentral:rRNA from 1 species